UUUUCCGGUUGAUCCUGCCGGACCCGACUGCUAUUGGGAUAGGACUAAGCCAUGCUAGUCAAGCGUUCUUAGCUAUGUUAGAACGCGGCAGACGGCUCAGUAACACGUGGUUAACCUGCCCUCAGGACGGGGACAACCCCGGGAAACUGGGAUUAAUCCCCGAUAGGUGAGGAUGCCUGGAAUGGUUUCUCACCCAAAGGGCUCGACUGCAUGCAGUAGCGUCGCCUGAGGAUGGGGCCGCGACCGAUUAGGUUGUUGGCGGUGUAACGGACCACCAAGCCUAUAAUUGGUACGGGCCGUGAGAGCGGGAGCCCGGAGAUGGGGACUGAGACAAGGGCCCAGGCCCUACGGGGCGCAGCAGGCGCGAAAACUCCGCAAUGCGCGAAAGCGUGACGGGGCUAUCCCGAGUGCCGUCCGCUGAGGAUGGCUUUUCCACGGUGUAAGGAGCCGUGGGAAUAAGGGGAGGGCAAGCCUGGUGUCAGCCGCCGCGGUAAUACCAGCUCCCCGAGUGGUGGGGAUGAUUAUUUGGCCUAAAGCGUCCGUAGCCGGCUCGGUAAGUCCUCCGUUAAAUCCGACGAUCUAAUCGUUGGGCUGCGGGGGAUACUGCAGGGCUAGGGGGCGGGAGAAGCUGACGGUACUCGUGGGGUAGGGGUGAAAUCCUAUAAUCCCAGGAGGACAACCAGUGGCGAAGGCGGUCGGCUAGAACGCGCCCGACGGUGAGGGACGAAAGCUGGGGGAGCGAUCCGGAUUAGAUACCCGGGUAGUCCCAGCUGUAAACGAUGCAGGCUAGGUGUUGGCGUGACUACGGGUUACGCUAGUGCCGCAGGGAAGCCGUUAAGCCUGCCGCCUGGGAAGUACGGUCGCAAGACUGAAACUUAAAGGAAUUGGCGGGGGAGCA
rnacentral:rRNA from 1 species